rnacentral:lncRNA from 1 species
CUAUCAAUAAUAGGACCAUGAUGAUAAUGGUUGAAGUUUCAUGCCUCCCUCCCCCAUGUCCUGGGUUUAAUCCCUUGCUCCCAUUUUUCCUCACUAUUUUUCCAUUUUUCCAUUCUUUGUCACUCUUAUUUUUUUUGUUUUCUUUCACAUUUUUUUAACCAUCCAAAUUUUAUUUUCUUUUUGAUUUUUGAUUCCUACUUCUUAUUUUUGACAUUUUCUUUAUAAUUUGAUUUUUGUUUUUAGUUU